UACGAAGGGGGCUAGCGUUGCUCGGAAUCACUGGGCGUAAAGGGUGCGUAGGCGGGCUUUUAAGUCUGGGGUGAAAUCCUGGAGCUCAACUCCAGAACUGCCUUUGAUACUGAAGAUCUUGAGUCCGGGAGAGGUGAGUGGAACUGCGAGUGUAGAGGUGAAAUUCGUAGAUAUUCGCAAGAACACCAGUGGCGAAGGCGGCUCACUGGCCCGGUACUGACGCUGAGGCACGAAAGCGUGGGGAGCAAACAGG
rnacentral:rRNA from 1 species